rnacentral:rRNA from 1 species
GACGAACGCUGGCGGCGUGCUUAACACAUGCAAGUCGAACGGUAAGGCCCUUCGGGGUACACGAGUGGCGAACGGGUGAGUAACACGUGGGUGAUCUGCCCUGCACUUCGGGAUAAGCCUGGGAAACUGGGUCUAAUACCGGAUAGGACCACUGCCUGCAUGGGUGGUGGUGGAAAGCUUUUGCGGUGUGGGAUGGGCCCGCGGACUAGCAGCUUGUUGGUGGGGGGAUAGCCUACCAAGGGGAGGACGGGGAGCAGGCAUGAGAGGGUGACCGGCCCCACUGGGACGGGGAUACGGCCCAGACUCCUACGGGAGGCAGGAGUGGGGGAUAUUGCACAAUGGGCGCAAGCCUGAUGCAGCGACGCCGCGUGAGGGAUGACGGCCUUCGGGUUGUAAACCUCUUUCAGCACCGACGAAGCGCAAGUGACGGUAGGUGCAGAAGAAGGACCGGCCAACUACGUGCCAGCCGCCGCCGUAA